rnacentral:rRNA from 2 species
UGGAUCCAGACUUUGAUUCUGGCUCAGGACGAACGCUGGCGGCGUGCUUAGCACAUGCAAGUCGAACGAGAAGAGAUGAGAAGCUUGCUUCUUAUUGAUUCGAGUGGCAAACGGGUGAGUAACGCGUAAGCAACCUGCCCUCUAGAUGGGGACAACAGCUGGAAACGGCUGCUAAUACCGAAUACGUUUUUUCUGUCGCAUGGCAGAGAGAAGAAAGGGAGGCUCUUCGGAGCUUUCGCUGGAGGAGGGGCUUGCGUCUGAUUAGCUAGUUGGAGGGGUAACGGCCCACCAAGGCGACGAUCAGUAGCCGGUCUGAGAAGAUGAACGGCCACAUUGGGACUGAGACACGGCCCAGACUCCUACGGGAGGCAGCAGUGGGGAAUCUUCCGCAAUGGACGAAAGUCUGACGGAGCAACGCCGCGUGAACGAUGACGGCCUUCGGGUUGUAAAGUUCUGUUAUACGGGACGAAUGGUACGACGGUCAAUACCCGUCGUAAGUGACGGUACCGUAAGAGAAAGCCACGGCUAUCUACGUGCCAGCAGCCGCGGUAAUACGUAGGUGGCAAGCGUUGUCCGGAAUUAUUGGGCGUAAAGGGCGCGCAGGCGGCGUCGUAAGUCGGUCUUAAAAGUGCGGGGCUUAACCCCGUGAGGGGACCGAAACUGCGAUGCUAGAGUAUCGGAGAGGAAAGCGGAAUUCCUAGUGUAGCGGUGAAAUGCGUAGAUAUUAGGAGGAACACCAGUGGCGAAAGCGGCUUUCUGGACGACAACUGACGCUGAGGCGCGAAAGCCAGGGGAGCAAACGGGAUUAGAUACCCCGGUAGUCCUGGCCGUAAGCGAUGGAUACUAGGUGUAGGAGGUAUCGACCCCUUCUGUGCCGGAGUUAACGCAAUAAGUAUCCCGCCUGGGGAGUACGGCCGCAAGGCUGCAACUCAAAGGAAUUGACGGA